rnacentral:sRNA from 1 species
AGCCUAAACCCUCCAUUCGGAAGGCAUGGCUUAAAAUCCCACUAAGAUACUGAUCCCGUCGUUCAGCAUCUUAGUGGGUCAUGCCUCGAAAGGGGUAUGGGGCCUUAGGCCC